GUGAGACUGGAGUUCAGACGUGUACUAUGCCGAGUUGCCGGAUUUUGAAUGAAUGCAGCUUCCUGUCUACUGGCCGUGGCUCAGCGCUGCUAUCGUCAAACUACAGACACACACCGAUCAUAGCUGCACUCACAGCACAGAGAGGAGCAGGA